rnacentral:rRNA from 1 species
CCUAACACAUGCAAGUCGAACGGAUCCUUCGGGAUUAGUGGCAGACGGGUGAGUAACGCGUGGGAAGCUACCUUGUGGUAGGGAACAACAGUUGGAAACGACUGCUAAUACCCUAUGAGCCCUAUGGGGGAAAGAUUUAUCGCCAUGAGAUGUGCCCGCGUUAGAUUAGCUAGUUGGUAAGGUAAUGGCUUACCAAGGCGACGAUCUAUAGCUGGUCUGAGAGGAUGAUCAGCCACACUGGGACUGAGACACGGCCCAGACUCCUACGGGAGGCAGCAGUGGGGAAUAUUGGACAAUGGGGGCAACCCUGAUCCAGCCAUGCCGCGUGAGUGAUGACGGCCUUAGGGUUGUAAAGCUCUUUCAGCAGUGAAGAUAAUGACAUUAACUGCAGAAGAAGCCCCGGCUAACUUCGUGCCAGCAGCCGCGGUAAUACGAAGGGGGCUAGCGUUGUUCGGAAUCACUGGGCGUAAAGCGUACGUAGGCGGACUGAUCAGUCAGGGGUGAAAUCCCGGGGCUCAACCCCGGAACUGCCUUUGAUACUGUCAGUCUUGAGAUCGAGAGAGGUGAGUGGAACUCCGAGUGUAGAGGUGAAAUUCGUAGAUAUUCGGAAGAACACCAGUGGCGAAGGCGGCUCACUGGCUCGAUACUG